rnacentral:rRNA from 1 species
GGGAAUAUUGCGCAAUGGAGGAAACUCUGACGCAGUGACGCCGCGUAUAGGAAGAAGUUUUUCGGAAUGUAAACUAUUGUCGUUAGGGAAGAGAAAGGACAGUACCUAAGGAGGAAGCUCCGGCUAACUACGUGCCAGCAGCCGCGGUAAUACGUAGGGAGCGAGCGUUAUCCGGAAUUACUGGGUGUAAAGGGGGCGUAGACGGUGAUGUAAGUCUGGAGUGAAAGGCGGGGGCCCAACCCCCGGACUGCUCUGGAAACUAUGUGACUGGAGUGCAGGAGAGGUGAGCGGAAUUCCUAGUGUAGCGGUGAAAUGCGUAGAUAUUAGGAGGAACACCAGUGGCGAAGGCGGCUCACUGGACUGUAACUGACGUUGAGGCUCGAAAGCGUGGGGAGCAAACAG